rnacentral:rRNA from 1 species
GAUGAACGCUGGCGGCGUGCCUAAUACAUGCAAGUCGAGCGAACAGACGAGGAGCUUGCUCCUCUGACGUUAGCGGCGGACGGGUGAGUAACACGUGGAUAACCUACCUAUAAGACUGGGAUAACUUCGGGAAACCGGAGCUAAUCCCGGAUAAUAUAUUGAACCGCAUGGUUCAGUAGUGAAAGACGGUUUUGCUGUCACUUAUAGAUGGAUCCGCGCCGCAUUAGCUAGUUGGUAAGGUAACGGCUUACCAAGGCAACGAUGCGUAGCCGACCUGAGAGGGUGAUCGGCCACACUGGAACUGAGACACGGUCCAGACUCCUACGGGUGGCAGCAGUAGGGAAUCUUCCGCAAUGGGCGAAAGCCUGACGGAGCAACGCCGCGUGAGUGAUGAAGGUCUUCGGAUCGUAAAACUCUGUUAUUAGGGAAGAACAAAUGUGUAAGUAACUAUGCACGUCUUGACGGUACCUAAUCAGAAAGCCACGGCUAACUACGUG